GGAGAAGCCUGUGUGGCAUUGUCUCAGUGGGUGUUGUUGUGAAAGAUUUACAGCUUAAUGAGAGUCAUGUAAAGCAGAGGACAACAAGCCCUGCUGCUAUCCAUCACCUGGUCUGCUCCCAGCCUUAUACCUUAGCUCCGUUCACAGGGCAUGUACAUGACAGAGGAGGACAUGACCACAUUUUUGGAUUCAGAUUGACUAACAAGAAAAAAAGAAAAGCUUUCAGUGUAUUUUAUUGAGUUGAUUAGUUAAAGUCUUGUUAAAGUCUUCGGGAUACUUCCUUCACUGAGGAAACUGAGGUCAUACACGUACCUGGACGAUAUCAAAGAGGCUGAUUCCACUAUGUUCAGGAUCUAUUUGUUUUCUUUUGGUUUUUGUUUAGUUUUUUGUACUUUCAAGCCAACAAAAGUAAAGAAGGGAAGCAGGAUGGGAUACAGAGACGCUGUGUCUUUACACAGGACCAACUACUGCUGAAGACAUCAAGGUCAUGUCCCGUCCCCGAGCGUGGUCUUCCUCCCUGCUGUGUGUGCCGGGUUUAGCUGGAGGCCGGCCACUCAGUCAGUCCCCUCGACAGUUGGAUCGGGACUGGAUGUGAGCAGUCCCCCACACCCAGAGAUCUGGCGAGAAAGGUGAACAUUAACCCGGGACUCAUUCGGGGCAUCCCGCAAUUCCCCAUAAAUCAUUAACCCGUCCAGCAUCAAGACAGUGACAGCAUCAGCAUGACAACAUCAAUCUGUCAGGAUUCCUCUGAACCAGGGAUUCUCACAGAUUUUCAGAUGCAAAUAGAGGGAAACUGGGAGAAAACAGGCUUGCACUCCUGGGCUGUAACAACAAGCGUGGCCCCGAUAUUUAGUUCAGUACUUGUAUAUAUUCAUUAUAUGGUAUUUCUUUGUUCUCUUGAGUUCCUGCAGCAGGUGGCUGUAGCUGGAUGAGGUUCAAGACAACAAAUCAUCAUUAUUAUUAAAUGUAAAUCCGAUCCUUCCGCCUGAACAGCUUAGAAGCUUCAUUUUAUUAACUGAAACCACUUACUCACCUUCAUGCCAUAGUCCGUGCCACUGAGUACAUGUAACACUGCACUUAAGGACACUUUCUGAGAUACUCAGGGGGUUUUUUUUACCAGCUUUGUUUACUAGAUGAAGAUUUAACAUUCCCAGAAUAUGAGAGGCUGAUAAAAUAUCACACAGCUGUUACUGUAACUCAAAUUAAAAGCAGUAUGCAGUGACAAUAUCCAAGAGUAUAUUAUUGUAUUAUUACACUAAAAGACCUGUUUCUACACAUAUUUUUUACUGAACUGAAAACAUUGUAUGAUUUGAUUAGUUGUACUUUUGAUAGAAUUUAAAGACAAAAGCCAUCGAUGCAUAUUUAAACAGAUCGUCAGCUGCAAAGUUGACUUCUCCUCUCUAAAAUUUGACAUUUUUUAGUCUUAUUUCUCAAUUAUUAUAAUCUAUGUUAAUGUUGGUAAUUUAUUAAUGUUGUAGCAUAAAUAUGGAAAGUUAACAUUGUUGUUUUUGUCAUUUUGUUGUAAUGUUUGUACUCAUUGUUGUGUUAUUUGUGUUAUUAUGAAUUUGUGGCAUCUCUGUAAACCCGGGAGAGGUCAAAGGGCAGAGCUGCUGCAAUAAUACACAUUUAUUUAUAUUCUAAAUGCCUUAUAUGUAAAAGGAUGGUAAGAGAACACCAACCAUCUAUCUUUUCUGACACUUCUCUGACACUGACACUUGUUUGGAUUACAUUUUUAAUUUCUUCCAGCUGUUUCGGAGUAAUUGGACCGCAUUAAAUUUGAAAACUGUAAGUAUCGUCUUGAACAGAUGAUAUUUUUUCAUUGUAAUUUGGGAAUAAUGGGUUCAAUUUAAAACAUAACGCAGGUCACUUUUGUUUAACAAAGUAUGAAACUCUGUAUGGAGUAGAAAGAUGUAUAAUUGCAAAAAAGCCAAAAUGUAAGUCAGAAUUAAAUAUGAUCUGCUUUA